rnacentral:rRNA from 1 species
CCUACGGGUGGCAGCAGUGGGGAAUAUUGGACAAUGGGGGGAACCCUGAUCUAGCCAUGCCGCGUGUGUGAAGAAGGCCCUCGGGUUGUAAAGCACUUUCAGUGAGGAAGAACGCCUGGUGGUUAAUACCCAUCAGGAAAGACAUCACUCACAGAAGAAGCACCGGCUAACUCCGUGCCAGCAGCCGCGGUAAUACGGAGGGUGCGAGCGUUAAUCGGAAUUACUGGGCGUAAAGCGCGCGUAGGUGGCUUGAUAAGCCGGUUGUGAAAGCCCCGGGCUCAACCUGGGAACGGCAUCCGGAACUGUCAAGCUAGAGUGCAGGAGAGGAAGGUAGAAUUCCCGGUGUAGCGGUGAAAUGCGUAGAGAUCGGGAGGAAUACCAGUGGCGAAGGCGGCCUUCUGGACUGACACUGACACUGAGGUGCGAAAGCGUGGGUAGCAAACAGGAUUAGAUACCCCGGUAGUC